AUACGGAGGGGGCGAGCGUUAUUCGGAAUCAUUGGGCGUAAAGGGCGCGUAGGCGGCCUGACAAGUCAGGGGUGAAAUCCCUCGGCUCAACCGAGGAACUGCCUCUGAAACUGUCAGGCUUGAGGCCGGGAGAGGGUAGUGGAAUUCCCAGUGUAGCGGUGAAAUGCGUAGAUAUUGGGAGGAACACCAGUGGCGAAGGCGGCUACCUGGACCGGUUCUGACGCUGAGGCGCGAAAGUGUGGGGAGCAAACAGGAUUAGAUACCCUAGUAGUCC
rnacentral:rRNA from 1 species